CCUACGGGCGGCAGCAGUCGGGAAUAUUGCGCAAUGGAGGAAACUCUGACGCAGUGACGCCGCGUGCAGGAAGAAGGUUUUCGGAUUGUAAACUGCUUUAGACAGGGAAGAAAAAAGACAGUACCUGUAGAAUAAGCUCCGGCUAACUACGUGCCAGCAGCCGCGGUAAUACGUAGGGAGCAAGCGUUAUCCGGAUAUAUUGGGUGGAAAGUCUGCGUAGACGGGGAAGCAAGUUAGUUGGGAAAUCCCUGGGCGUAAAUGAGGAACUGCAACUAAAACUACUUCCCUUGAGUACUGGAGAGGAAAGUGGAAUUCCAAGUGUAGCAGUGAAAUGCGUAGAUAUUAGGAGGAACACCAGUGGCGAAGGCGACUUUCUGGACAGUAACUGACGUUGAGGCACGAAAGUGUGGGGAGCAAACAGGAUUAGAUACCCUUGUAGUC
rnacentral:rRNA from 1 species